rnacentral:rRNA from 1 species
GCGGCGUGCUUAACACAUGCAAGUCGAACGAUGAACCACUUCGGUGGGGAUUAGUGGCGAACGGGUGAGUAACACGUGGGCAAUCUGCCCUGCACUCUGGGACAAGCCCUGGAAACGGGGUCUAAUACCGGAUACGAGCCUGGGAGGCAUCUCCCGGGUUGGAAAGCUCCGGCGGUGCAGGAUGAGCCCGCGGCCUAUCAGCUUGUUGGUGAGGUAACGGCUCACCAAGGCGACGACGGGUAGCCGGCCUGAGAGGGCGACCGGCCACACUGGGACUGAGACACGGCCCAGACUCCUACGGGAGGCAGCAGUGGGGAAUAUUGCACAAUGGGCGAAAGCCUGAUGCAGCGACGCCGCGUGAGGGAUGACGGCCUUCGGGUUGUAAACCUCUUUCAGCAGGGAAGAAGCGAGAGUGACGGUACCUGCAGAAGAAGCGCCGGCUAACUACGUGCCAGCAGCCGCGGUAAUACGUAGGGCGCAAGCGUUGUCCGGAAUUAUUGGGCGUAAAGAGCUCGUAGGCGGCUUGUCGCGUCGGUUGUGAAAGCCCGGGGCUUAACCCCGGGUCUGCAGUCGAUACGGGCAGGCUAGAGUUCGGUAGGGGAGAUCGGAAUUCCUGGUGUAGCGGUGAAAUGCGCAGAUAUCAGGAGGAACACCGGUGGCGAAGGCGGAUCUCUGGGCCGAUACUGACGCUGAGGAGCGAAAGCGUGGGGAGCGAACAGGAUUAGAUACCC